rnacentral:rRNA from 1 species
UGGGGAAUAUUGGACAAUGGGCGCAAGCCUGAUCCAGCCAUGCCGCGUGAGUGAAGAAGGCCCUAGGAUCGUAAAGCUCUUUCGCCGGGGAAGAUAAUGACGGUACCCGGUAAAGAAGUCCCGGCUAACUCCGUGCCAGCAGCCGCGGUAAUACGGAGGGGACUAGCGUUGUUCGGAAUUACUGGGCGUAAAGCGCGCGUAGGCGGAGAUUUAAGUCAGGGGUGAAAUCCCGGGGCUCAACCCCGGAACUGCCCUUGAUACUGGAUGUCUGGAGUUCGAGAGAGGUGAGUGGAAUUCCGAGUGUAGAGGUGAAAUUCGUAGAUAUUCGGAGGAACACCAGUGGCGAAGGCGGCUCACUGGCUCGAUACUGACGCUGAGACGCGAAAGCGUGGGGAGCAAACAGGAUUAGAUAC